UACGGGGGGGGCAAGCGUUGUUCGGAAUUACUGGGCGUAAAGGGCUCGUAGGCGGCCAACUAAGUCAGACGUGAAAUCCCUCAGCUUAACUGGGGAACUGCGUCUGAUACUGGAUGGCUUGAGUUUGGGAGAGGGAUGCGGAAUUCCAGGUGUAGCGGUGAAAUGCGUAGAUAUGCGGAGGAACACCGAUGGCGAAGGCAAUCCCCUGGGCCUGCACUGACGCUCAUGCACGAAAGCGUGGGGAGCAAACAGG
rnacentral:rRNA from 1 species